rnacentral:tRNA from 1 species
GUCUCUGUGGCGCAAUAGGUCAGCGCAUUCGACUGUUAACCGAAAGGAUGGUGGUUCAAGUCCACCCAGGGACG